rnacentral:piRNA from 1 species
UGAGUGACCUGCUUGUUUCUUCU